UUGGUUUUGUUAGUUUUGUGUCUGACAACAGACAGUUUUUUUCAUAAGUUAAUACUCAGAAGUUUUUUGUGAAGUCGUUCUCUUGGGUUGUGAAGCCAAGCGAAAGAUUCAAAUCAGUGGUCUAAAAUGACAGCUCAGAAGUGGAAACGUGGGCUGGCUGUGCUUAGGUAUUCCUAAACCGUCAGUACUUUUUCCGUUGUCUCUGCUCUGUAAAAUGAAGAGUUGCCUCUUCGAAAAACGGUACGCGGGUCGAAAAGUGAAGCCAUUGCUGACAACACUUUUUUGAAAAGGGUGUGGUAAUGAUCCUUCCGCAGGUUCACCUACGGAAA
rnacentral:misc_RNA from 1 species